AUUGAACGCUAGCGGGAUGCCUUACACAUGCAAGUCGAACGAGUGGCGAACGGGUGAGUAAUGUAUCGGAACGUGCCCAGUAGCGGGGGAUAACUACGCGAAACGUAGCUAAUACCGCAUACUAUUGGAGCGGCCGAUAUCGGCUUCGCUAGUUGGUGGGGUAACGGCUCACCAAGGCGACGAUCCGUAGCUGGUUUGAGAGGAUGACCAGCCACAUUUGGAUUGCACCAUGGCCCAUACUCCUAAGGGAGGCAGCAGUGGGGAAUUGUGGACAUUGGGGGAAACCCUGAUCCACCCAUCCCGCGUGUGCGAUGAAGGCCUUCGGGUUGUAAAGAACUUUUGGCAGGAAAGCGGUACCUGCAGAAUAAGCACCGGCUAACUACGUGCCAGCGGCCGCGGUAAUUC
rnacentral:rRNA from 1 species